CCUACGGGAGGCAGCAGUGAGGAAUAUUGGUCAAUGGGCGCGAGCCUGAACCAGCCAAGUCGCGUGAGGGAAGACGGUCCUAUGGAUUGUAAACCUCUUUUGUCGGGGAGCAAAAGACGCCACGCGUGGCGUUCCGAGAGUACCCGAAGAAAAAGCAUCGGCUAACUCCGUGCCAGCAGCCGCGGUAUACGGAGGAUGCGAGCGGUAUCCGGAUUUAUUGGGUUGAAAGGGGGCGCAGGCGGAAGAUUAAGUCAGCGGUAAAAUUGAGGGGCUCAACCUCUUCGAGCCGUUGAAACUGGGUUUCUUGAGUGAGUGAGAGGUAUGCGGAAUGCGCGGUGUAGCGGUGAAAUGCAUAGAUAUCGCGCAGAACUCCGAUUGCGAAGGCAGCGUACCGGCGCCAGACUGACGCUGAGGCACGAAAGCGUGGGGAUCGAACAGGAUUAGAUACCCUUGUAGUC
rnacentral:rRNA from 1 species